AUACGGAGGGUGCGAGCGCUAAUCGGAAUUACGGGGCGUAAAGCGUACGUAGGCGGUUGGUUAAGUUAGAUGUGAAAGCCCCGGGCUUAACCUGGGAACUGCAUUUAAAACUGGCGAACUAGAGUUGAGUAGAGGGGAGUGGAAUUUCAGGUGUAGCGGUGAAAUGCGUAGAGAUCUGAAGGAACACCAGUGGCGAAGGCGACUCCCUGGACUCGAACUGACGCUGAGGUACGAAAGCGUGGGUAGCAAACGGGAUUAGAAACCCUAGUAGUCC
rnacentral:rRNA from 1 species